rnacentral:lncRNA from 1 species
GAAACACAGAGAAAACUGGGAGCCGUUACAGACAGCAGCCAAGAAAGGCAGGUCAGAUGGAAUGGAUUCGCCACCAAAAUGUACUUUUCAAUCUGGCUGCAGAGUGUCGAGAAAUAUCUUGCAACACGUCUUAAAAAAUCAAUUUCAAAAUGUUGAUCAAGUCCCGAGGAAAUGUACCUUUCUUUGCACACAGGAAAGUGUUUCCAUAAUUUUCACACUUAGUCUGUGAAAGUCUGCAAACUAAGGCACAACCAUUUUGACCAAGAUGAUAUCUCACGUAUCUUGACACCAACUGUUUAAAUUUCUGACUUGCACAUCCAUUUCUGGAACCCACUGUUUCUGAUUUUUCCAAAGGUUUCAUUCCAACAUCCACUCUUCUGCUGCAUUGAAAAUGAACUUUUCUCACGAGGGUAGAAAGCAGGGCAGGGCUGAAGGCUUCCUCCAGAAGAUGCCUGAAACUCAACUUGUUGGACAAAAGAGAGACUGAAACCCGAGAGGCCACCCAGGCAGAGAGUAGUGACAGAAAGGACCUCAGUGGGUAUCCCGAGACAGACAACCAAAGGGAACAGUGCUGUGCAGUUAGGGGCAAGAGAAAGGUUCAGGGAAGAGAGAAGCUGGGAGGGGGUGCAGGUGGGAACAGUCAGGAGUCAGCAGUCAGGACGGGGUGAGCAGAAGGGGCAACGGGUGCUUUUGGCUGAGCCUAAGUGAGACCCUGGUCCACUUGCAAUCCCACCCCAGAGCCUGGCAAGGCUCCCUCCAGCAGCUAUCACUCUGCUCUUUCCAUGCUUGUCUCCACCCACACCACCUUCUACAAGUUCUCAAUCAUAUAAGCAUCUGGAAGGAAGCUGGGAAGGGUUGUCUGUCUUGUCCAUUGAUGGAGCCCAAUGCCUAGGACAGAGCCUGAUAAAUGGAGAGCACUGUGCAAAUACGAACAAUUAGAGCCCAAGUCAUAAAAGAAAGUACUCAAACACAGGGUCUCCUUAACUCUCUAAAAUACCACACUGUUUUACACGUACACACACACACACACACACACACACACAUGCCCGUGUAAAUUUGAGAGAACUCAGAAAUGGUUCAAAUCACCCAGAAACAUCAGGUGACCAUUCAAGAUAACUCAGGAAAUCUGAGCUGGUCAAGUUUAUUGCACGUCACCAACAAGUACCUUUUGGGACUGAGGGAAUUAGCAAACACAUUCCACAAAUCCCCGGCAGUUAUUUUGAGCGAGGUAGUGGGAAAUGAGGACCUAAAAGAGAAAUGGCAAGAAUGGAAGUGAGAGUGAUAUUUUACUCCACAGAAGGUCGAUCCUGAGUUUUACCAUCUGGGAGCUAACCUAAAUCCCCAGGAAAACAAGGUCCCCUCAAACCAAGGCAAAGUCAAGGAGACAUAGCAAUCCAUACUUAUUAAUAGUCUCAUAAAGCAUCGGGAAGGCUUGCCCCCACCCUGCUUUGCUGGAUGGUCGUGGGCGCUUGUCUUGUGAAGGAAUACAGCAAAUACAUUUACAUUGUUUAUGAACAUGUCUUGAUUUCAGUUAAACACUUGAUGGAAGUUAAUCCCAUUUGGUUUAUAUAAAAAAUAGCUGUUCGGAGCCUGAAAACGUAUCUGAGUGA